rnacentral:misc_RNA from 1 species
GCUGGGGCCACCUCUGGAUGCGAUUCUCUUUUGCCUUUCCAGUUUUAAUGCUUCAAUGCGCUUUUGGUCUGCCUCUUCCUUUUCUUUUUUCAUCUUCUGCAUAUCAGCUUUGAAGGAUCUUAUCCUCUCAGCACGUGCUCGUGCAUCAUCCAAAGGACUUGACUUUGACAUUUUUCCUUUUCUUAUUGGUCCUCCACUCCUUUUCUUGUCCGAAGUAUCAACAGUAGCUUUUGACCUGCGAUCUUUCUCUGAUUUUUUUGAACCUUCCUUAACAUCAUUGGAGACUCCAUUCUUUCUUUUAUCCUUUGAAGCAGAACCUUCAUUGCAAACUUGCAUUUCAUAGUCUAAAGCAGGGUCAUAGAGACCCAACCUUUUUUCUGUUCCACGCUCAGACAUCAAGCUAAAAUCAUUAGGCUCGUAACUCAUAAUCCCAGCAGAGCUGUUUUCUGAUUUUUGAUGCGCCAAUGGAAGCUCAGAGUCCAUGUUAAUGGCAGUUCUACCAUCUGGUCCAACGUCAGUCAAUGACAUUGACCUAAAAGGUACUACAAAAGACUCAUCAGUCAUAUUAUGUGAGGAAGCUUUGUCUAGCUUAUUAGUAUGCUCAUAUGCAUUCGGAUCUAAUGAAUUUCUCAGCCCUGAUUGAUUUCCUCGACCAUUAAGCAUAAAUUCAUCAUUUGCAGUUCUACGCAUGAUUUUUCUCCCAUUUAUCUCAGUAAACUGCAUGUCCACGUGGUCACCAAGUUCUUGUCCAUUAUCAUAUCCUCUGCUAGAAAGUAGGACUUCACCAUUAGAACCCCUAGACAUGCGAGACAUCUUUGCACCAAUUGUAUGCAUAUCACUCAACCUAUCCUUCAUUUCAAUGCCGUCUUGGGAACCAAUAGCCAAAGGAUCAUCGGAAAUGGUACUUUUUAGUCUCCUCCUUGCAUCUUUCUCCAUUGCGAACAUGCCAUCUUUGUCAUCUUCAUUACCUUUCAAUAAACAAUUUUGAAAUGCCAGCCAGUGCCCACCAUCAGCUUCCUUCUCACAAACAGUGUCAUCAUCAUAUAAAAUUGAUUCAGUGCGGCUCCGUCUUGUUUUUGAUGACCGUGAAGUUCCCUUUUUCACCAGGUCGUGACCGUUGCCUUCUAGAUCUUCACUAUCAGCACCAUUUUCCGAACCAGAAGCUGCUUCUGAUUCGCUAUCAUUAGAGUUCUUUGCUUUAGAAGUGAUAUAAUUAAUGUUACGUAUAACAACCUUUCCUGAUUGAUUUUUCCUAGACCGGCCAGCCUUCUUUCUCUGACUAUAAGACCCUUCGUUGUCCAUUUCUUCAUCUUCCUCUGAAUCGCUGUUGCUCUCUCUCCUAUCGGAAGACUGUUUUUUCUUUCUACUCUGCGGAGUGACACCCGUUCGAGAGUCUUCCAUUCCUGGAUAAGGAGGUUGAUAGAGAUGUCCAUUUCCUGGAUAAGCUGGAUAGUAAGGUACUCCUUGCAUGGGAUAUCCUUGAAAAGCAGGUACGCCAGAGGGAGGAGAAUGCAUUGGCCACGGUGGAUACAUUGGAUGCAGAAAUUGAUAUUGUUGUUGACCAUUUGGACUUUGUUGAUCCAAUGGAGGCCUUUCUCCUAAAUUACCAUCUGUGCUUGAUUUCACAUAAUUCUCAGAAGCCAUCUCGCUGUUGGAAUCAAAUUGCUUAUUAGCAAUAUUAGAGAGCAGAAUUCCAGAUGCAUUCAUUGCAGCAAUGUCUAAUUGAUUUGCCAUUGCUUCUGCAGCUUCAAUUUCAACCCAUUGUCCAUUUUCAUGCUUUUU